rnacentral:lncRNA from 1 species
UCUAAAUAAAUAACAAAAACUUCGUAAGUAAAGGUAAAGUGAAUCGUCUAAAUAAAGAACAACGACUUCAUGAGUUAAUAUGAAGUGAGUCAUCUAAAUAAAGAACAAGGACUUCAUAAGUAAAAUGAAAGUGAGUCAACUAAAUAAGGGACAACGCGCGACUUCAUAAGUAAAAAAGGUAAGUCGAUUAAAUAAGGGACAACAACUUCAUAAGUAAAAAAGGUAAGUCGAUUAAAUAAGGGACAACAACUUCAUAAGUAAAAAGAAGCGAGUCGAUUAAAUAAAGGACAACGACUUCAUAAGUAAAAAAAAGUGAGUCGACUAAAUAAGGGACAACGAUUUUAUAAGUAAAAUAAAAAGUGAGCCGACUAAAUAACGAACGACUUCAGAAGUAAAAAAAAAGUGAGACGUAGAAGAUUUGGAAUGUAGAGGAGACGUAGAGAAAUAGAAAAAAGACCAACGAAUAGAGAUGUAAAUGAGACGUAGAAGAUUGUGAAGAGGAACAACGAUUAGAAAUGUAGAGGAAGAUUGUAAAUAGAAACAACGAUUAGAAAGAUAAAAGAGACACACGAGAGGGUAAUAAGGAGAAACGAAACGAAGAGAUAGAAAAAAGAGACGUAGAAAUUUUUUAUUAAAGGACUACGACUACACAGAUUGACGAGACUAACGAAAUUGAAAUGGGGGACAACUAGUAUACAAUUACGAGAUUGUAAUAACAAACAAUCAAUGCAUAGAUUUAGGAGACUUAAAAAAUGGCAAUAAGGAAAUGGUAAUAUAUUGGAAAAAAGAUAGAUCGACGAGACUUGAAUUACAUAGACAUGGUCGGAAAAAAAAUAAGUUGCUGAUAAUAUGAGAUGGAGAUAUAGGAAUAAAAGAAAAUAACAUAAAAAAAGAGUAAAAGAAUCAGAUAAAAAUAUGACAUAUCAAAAUGAUGAAAAUUUGAUAAACAAAAGGUGAAUGACAACAACAAAAAAUCUAGCAAUGGGUUCAAUGAACUUCCGAUGAACUUCAAAAAAAUGAAAAAAGGAAGAAGAAAGAGAUUGCGUGUGAAGGUAAAAAGCUAGGUAGUUAGGAGGUAGGGUACAAAUUGUAAAAGACUUCAUGGUGAUCUGUGCACAAACUGAAUAAAAAAUAAUAAAAAGACGGACGACUGAGAUGUGGAAUUGAAAGAUCGGACGGUUCAGAUAGGAUGAGCGUUUUUGAGCUCACCCUAUGCUGAGCGCACCUGAAAAAAGCUGUAAUUAAUUAUAAAAAUACAGACCAAAUAUGAAGAUGAUGGACCAAAACUGAGACAGCUCCACCAAAUAUAAAAAUGGCACCAAAUACUUAUUUAUACUUAUUUUCGUCAAAUAUAACAUCGCCUCCUCCUCCACCACCACUACUCACUGAGUUUGGAAAUUGAUCUUCCCCAUUGAAACCAUUAAAAAAAUAAUCCCAACCACUGGGUGUUUGCGCAUGAUACACAGUAGUAAGAGAGGUAGGAGAAGCAAGUGUAGGACCACUUUCCAAAUCAUUAUUGGAAAGAGAUCCAUACCCUAAACUACUAUAACCACCACCAUCACCAUUGACAAAGUUUGACGACAAUGGACUUUUUCCUCCGGCGCUACUUUGAGAAUAACUCAAACCACUACUCGAUUCAUGUGCUGAAGCAAUAAAAGUCGAAGCUGGUGCUAUAGAGGAAGAAACAAGGGAAUGAUCCAAAUAAGGAUUGCUGAAAACAACUCCAAUGCUAGAGAUUAAAAGUGCCCUAGAUGCAUAAGCCGAGCUUCGAAAGAAUAUCAACAAAAAGACAAUGGAGAUUAUUUUUGAACUAACCAUAGUUCUAUUGAAAUAUUGUGAACU